UUUGAUCAUGGCUCAGAUUGAACGCCGCGGCAUGCCUUACACAUGCAAGUCGAACGGCAGCGGGCCUUCGGGGUGCCGGCGAGUGGCGAACGGGUGAGUAAUGCAUCGGAACGUGCCAUUGAGUGGGGGAUAACGUAGCGAAAGUUACGCUAAUACCGCAUAUUCUGUGAGCAGGAAAGCAGGGGACCGCAAGGCCUUGCGCUCUUUGAGCGGCCGAUGUCAGAUUAGCUAGUUGGUGAGGUAAAGGCUUACCAAGGCGACGAUCUGUAGCGGGUCUGAGAGGAUGAUCCGCCACACUGGAACUGAGACACGGUCCAGACUCCUACGGGAGGCAGCAGUGGGGAAUUUUGGACAAUGGGCGCAAGCCUGAUCCAGCCAUGCCGCGUGAGUGAAGAAGGCCUUCGGGUUGUAAAGCUCUUUCGGCCGGGAAGAAAUCGCAUGGGUUAAUACCCUGUGUGGAUGACGGUACCGGAAUAAGAAGCACCGGCUAACUACGUG
rnacentral:rRNA from 1 species